rnacentral:rRNA from 1 species
UACGGAGGGAGCUAGCGUUGUUCGGAAUUACUGGGCGUAAAGCGCACGUAGGCGGCUUUGUAAGUUAGAGGUGAAAGCCCGGGGCCCAACUCCGGAACUGCCUUUAAGACUGCAUCGCUUGAAUCCAGGAGAGGUGAGUGGAAUUCCGAGUGUAGAGGUGAAAUUCGUAGAUAUUCGGAAGAACACCAGUGGCGAAGGCGGGCUCAC